GCCCUGUCCUCCCUUGCUGCAGUUGGUUAGAGCUUGGUGCUGAUGAUGCCAAGGUUGCAAGUUAGAUCCCCAUAUGGGGCA